AGAACUGUAGUUGAUGGCCAUGGGUUUGUUACUCCCCCUCUUUAUCUUCUUAUAUCAUUGUUGAUCUUUUAUAAAAAUUAAUCUUUCAACAAAAAUUCUGGUAGAGUAUACUGUUCUUUAUAUGCUAGAUAGAUGUAGAUACUAUAGUGAAUGUGUGACUUAUCCUAAACAACUUGAGCAUAGUGCUUUUGCUCAUUAUUUUACAUGAAACUUGUCUCUAUAAUUGUUAAUAUAAAAAACUUCUUCCAUGUUUUCCCUCAUCCAUCAUAUUAAUAGUUGAUCAGUUUGUUCUAUAUGUUUUUCUCUAUGGAUUCCCAACUUCCUGAUUGAUGAAG
rnacentral:misc_RNA from 1 species